rnacentral:rRNA from 1 species
AACGAACGCUGGCGGCAGGCUUAACACAUGCAAGUCGAACGAUGUAGCAAUACAUAGUGGCGCACGGGUGAGUAACGCGUGGGAAUAUACCAAUCAGUGGGAAUAACUUUGGGAAACUAAAGCUAAUACCGCAUACGCCCGAGAGGGGAAAGAUUUAUCGCUGAUUGAUUAGCCCGCGUGAGAUUAGGUAGUUGGUGGGGUAAUGGCCUACCAAGCCUACGAUCUCUAGCUGGUCUGAGAGGAUGAUCAGCCACACUGGAACUGAGACACGGUCCAGACUCCUACGGGAGGUAGCAGUGGGGAAUAUUGGGCAAUGGAGGAAACUCUGACCCAGCCAUGCCGCGUGAAUGAUGACGGCCCUAUGGGUUGUAAACUGCUUUUAUACAAGAGAAACCCUGGUACGUGUACCAGGUUGAUAGUAUUGUAAGAAUAAGCAUCGGCUAACUUCGUGCCAGCAGCCGCGGUAAU